CGAAUAAUAGGUGAUGGUGUUCACCUUUAACCAUUUAUCACAGAUAAAUUAAUGACGCCUACUAAAAG
rnacentral:ncRNA from 2 species